AGAGUUUGAUCAUGGCUCAGAGCGAACGCUGGCGGCAUGCUUAACACAUGCAAGUCGCACGAGGGGUUUCGGCCUCUAGUGGCGGACGGGUGAGUAACGCGUAGGUAUCUAUCCUGGGGUGGGGGAUAACAGUGGGAAACUGCUGCUAAUACCGCAUGACACCUGAGGGUCAAAGGCGCGAGUCGCCUUAGGAGGAGCCUGCGUCCGAUUAGCUAGUUGGUGGGGUAAAGGCCUACCAAGGCGACGAUCGGUAGCUGGUCUGAGAGGAUGAUCAGCCACAUUGGGACUGAGACACGGCCCAAACUCCUACGGGAGGCAGCAGUGGGGAAUAUUGGACAAUGGGCGAAAGCCUGAUCCAGCAAUGCCGCGUGGAUGAAGAAGGUCUUCGGAUUGUAAAGUCCUUUCGACGGGGACGAUGAUGACGGUACCCGUAGAAGAAGCCCCGGCUAACUUCGUGCCAGCAGCCGCGGUA
rnacentral:rRNA from 1 species